UAACACGUAGGUAACCUGCCCAUGUGUCUGGGAUAACUGCUGGAAACGGUAGCUAAAACCGGAUAGGUAUACGGAGCGCAUGCUCUGUAUAUUAAAGCGCCCUUCAAGGCGUGAACAUGGAUGGACCUGCGGCGCAUUAGCUAGUUGGUGAGGUAACGGCCCACCAAGGCGAUGAUGCGUAGCCGGCCUGAGAGGGUAAACGGCCACAUUGGGACUGAGACACGGCCCAA
rnacentral:rRNA from 1 species